rnacentral:sRNA from 1 species
UUAAUUAAAAACUCUAUUCAAUCGAUUUAAUUUUGGGAAAAAUGUCAAAAAAAUCACGAACUUUCAAAUUUGGGACGAUUUAAUCUUGAACUUUACAGAAGACAAAUAAAUCGACAAGUUUUUGUUGACUUUCGAAAUAAAUGACAAGUUUUUGUUGACUUGCCAUUUGAGAUAUCAUUAAAUAAGUUAAAAAAUUUUUUUACGGCGUUAAUGUCUUGUUUAUUUACUUUGUUAGAACAAAACAACGUCGUUUAUUGCAGAGACGAAACGACGUUGUUUUGUCUUUUGAAACAAAUAUAAACCCUAAUUUCCCAAAUUGAUUUCAUUAUCUCAAAAUCAGAGACCCACAUUGACCUCAAAAUCGCAGAUAAUGAAAUCGAUUUAGGGAUUUAGGGUUUAAAUUUGUUUCAACAGACAAAACGAGCUGCAAUGAAGAACGUUGUUUUGUUCUAACAUAGGAGAUAAACGAGACAUUAACGCCGUAAAAAAAUUCUGUUAACCUACUUAACGACAUGACUCAAAUGACAACUCAACAAAAACUUUGUCAUUUAUUUUGAAAAACAACAAAAACUAUACGAUUUAUUUGUCUUCCGUAGAGUUCAAGAUUAAAUCGUCCCAAAUUUGAAAGUUCGUAAUUUGUUUGACAUUUUUCCCAUUUAAUUUUCAAAACAAGAAUAUCAAAUAUUUUCCCGCUCAUAGAAAAUUUUGAAAUAGGUGAAAGAAACAAAACAGAUCUAACUCUCACACACUCUCACAAGAGCGUCAAUUCGAAAAAU